GAGCAACCACAGCUCAAUAGGGACAUGAGAUCUUACCACAAUAGAUUGAUAUAACUAAAUUAAGUGACAUGCAAUCACACAACCAAAUAUCACAUUAAUGUUAAUAAUAAUAAUGAUGCAUGAAUGCUCUUCAAUUCUAAUCCCGUUAAUUCAUAUAACUGGACAAACAGACCUGCACGUCCCAUACCAUGCUUAUACCACUUGGUCCCG
rnacentral:lncRNA from 1 species